UGGGCGCAAGCCUGAUGCAGCGACGCCGCGUGAGGGAUGACGGCCUUCGGGUUGUAAACCUCUUUCAGUAGGGAAGAAGCGAAAGUGACGGUACCUGCAGAAGAAGCACCGGCUAACUACGUGCCAGCAGCCGCGGUAAUACGUAGGGUGCGAGCGUUAUCCGGAAUUAUUGGGCGUAAAGAGCUCGUAGGCGGUUUGUCGCGUCUGUCGUGAAAGUCCGGGGCUUAACCCCGGAUCUGCGGUGGGUACGGGCAGACUAGAGUGCAGUAGGGGAGACUGGAAUUCCUGGUGUAGCGGUGGAAUGCGCAGAUAUCAGGAGGAACACCGAUGGCGAAGGCAGGUCUCUGGGCUGUAACUGACGCUGAGGAGCGAAAGCAUGGGGAGCGAACAGGAUUAGAUACCCUGGUAGUCCAUCCCGUAAACGUUGGGCACUAGGUGUGGGGACCAUUCCACGGUUUCCGCGCCGCAGCUAACGCAUUAAGUGCCCCGCCUGGGG
rnacentral:rRNA from 2 species